rnacentral:tRNA from 1 species
UCCCUGGUAGUCCAGUGGCUAAGACUCUGCACUGCCAACACAGGGGGCCUGGGUUCGAUCCCAAGUCAGGGAA